UACGGGGGGGGCAAGCGUUGUUCGGAAUUACUGGGCGUAAAGGGCUCGUAGGCGGCCAACUAAGUCAGACGUGAAAUCCCUGGGCUCAACCCAGGAACUGCGUCCGAUACUGGUUGGCUUGAAUCCGGGAGAGGGAUGUGGAAUUCCAGGUGUAGCGGUGAAAUGCGUAGAUAUCUGGAGGAACACCGGUGGCGAAGGCGGCAUCCUGGACCGGUAUUGACGCUGAGGCGCGAAAGCCAGGGGAGCAAACGGG
rnacentral:rRNA from 1 species